rnacentral:rRNA from 1 species
GCAUAUCAAUAAGCGGAGGAAAAGAAACCAACAGGGAUUGCCUUAGUAACGGCGAGUGAAGCGGCAACAGCUCAAAUUUGAAAGCUGGCCCCCUCGGGGUCCGCGUUGUAAUUUGUAGAGGAUGAUUCGGCGACGGCUCCCGCCUAAGUCCCUUGGAACAGGGCGUCAUAGAGGGUGAGAAUCCCGUAUGUGGUGGGCUGCCUUAGCCAUGUGAAUCUCCUUCGACGAGUCGAGUUGUUUGGGAAUGCAGCUCUAAAUGGGAGGUAAAUUUCUUCUAAAGCUAAAUACCGGCCAGAGACCGAUAGCGCACAAGUAGAGUGAUCGAAAGAUGAAAAGCACUUUGGAAAGAGAGUUAAAAAGUACGUGAAAUUGUUGAAAGGGAAGCGCUUGCAGCCAGACUUGUCCGCAGUUGCUCAGCUUGUCUCCUGACAGGCGUACUCUUCUGCGGCCAGGCCAGCAUCAGUUCGGGCGGUCGGAUAAAGACCUGGGGAAUGUAGCUCCUCUCGGGGAGUGUUAUAGCCCUGGGUGCAAUGCGGCCAGCCUGGACUGAGGAUCUCGCUUCGGCUAGGAUGCUGGCGUAAUGGCUGUAAGCGGCCCGUCUUGAAACACGGACC